CCUACGGGGGGCAGCAGUGGGGGAUAUUGCACAAUGGGGGAAACCCUGAUGCAGCGACGCCGCGUGGGCGAAGAAGUAUUUCGGUAUGUAAAGCCCUAUCAGCAGGGAAGAAGAAUUGACGGUAACUGCGUAAGCAGCACCGGCUAAAUACGUGCCAGCAGCCGCGGCCAUACGGAUGGUGCAGGCGUUAUCCGGAUUUCAUGGGUGUAAAGGGAGCGCAGGCGGGACUGCAAGGCUGAUGUGAAAGCCCGGGGCCCAACCCCGGGACUGCAGUGGGAACUAGCGGGCUGGAGAGCCGGAGAGGUAGGCGGAAUGCGUAGUGUAGCGGUGAAAUGCUUAGAUAUUAGGAGGAACACCGGUUGCGAAGGCGGCAUACUGGACGGUGACUGACGCUGAGGCUCGAAAGCGUGGGUAGCGAACAGGAUUAGAUACCCUAGUAGUC
rnacentral:rRNA from 1 species